rnacentral:rRNA from 1 species
AUGAACGCUAGCGACAGGCCUAACACAUGCAAGUCAGGGGCAGCACAAGGAGCAAUCUGAGGUGGCGACCGGCGCACGGGUGAGUAACACGUAUGCAACCUGCCUGUAAGCGGGGAAUAACCCGUUGAAAGACGGACUAAUACCGCAUAAUACUAAAUUACUGCAUGGUAAUUAUUUAAACAUUUAUGGCUUACAGAUGGGCAUGCGCAUGAUUAGCUAGUUGGAGAGGUAACGGCUCCCCAAGGCAACGAUCAUUAGGGGUUCUGAGAGGAAGGUCCCCCACACUGGUACUGAGACACGGACCAGACUCCUACGGGAGGCAGCAGUGAGGAAUAUUGGUCAAUGGACGAGAGUCUGAACCAGCCAAGUCGCGUGCAGGAAGAAUGUCCCUAUGGAUUGUAAACUGCUUUUGCAGGGGAAUAAAGUGCAUCACGUGUGAUGUUUUGUAUGUACUCUGCGAAUAAGGAUCGGCUAACUCCGUGCCAGCCGCGGC